rnacentral:lncRNA from 1 species
GGGCGCCGAUCUCCCAUUUACCCGGCCGACGGUCCAACCGUCCUCACAAACCCAUGGUGACCCACUUCAUCCCAACUCCACACAAACAAAGCACAGCAAUAUCACAACACAAUUAAUCAAGUAUUGCAAUUAAAUGCAAGCAUAUUAAUCAAUUAAACAUUGUAAUGCAAUGCACAAUUAGACAUCCAAAAUCAAAUGCAAAUAAAUAAGUACAUAGUGUUAACAAUAAACAAGAAUAAUAAAAUAAAUAAUAAUAAUAAUAAACAAUAAUAAUGAAAAUAAAUAAAUGAAUAAUGGAAUACUUAAAUGAAUAAUAAUGAUAAUAAAUAAAUAAUUAGAGUACUUUAUUU